rnacentral:miRNA from 1 species
UGGGGCGGGGCAGGUCCCUGC